AACCUCUAUGUUCUUUAUACAGGAAUCGAGCUUUCCUUAGAUGCCGAGAUACACAUUGGUGGUAGAAAAAGAUCAAACAGCAACAUGAUAACUGGCAUUCAGUUUUUGUUGAAUGAUUCUCAGAGUCAUGAUUACAUCUGGGGAUUCUAAGAUCCGUAUUCUCGAUGGGCACGAGGUUGUCUGUAAAUACAGAGGUCUGUCAAAAUUUGGAAAUCAGAUGUCAGCUGCAUUUAUACCUCAACUAGAAAACAUGU